rnacentral:rRNA from 1 species
GACGAACGCUGGCGGCGUGCUUAACACAUGCAAGUCGAACGGAAAGGCCCUGCUUGCAGGGUGCUCGAGUGGCGAACGGGUGAGUAACACGUGGGUGAUCUGCCCCUUAUUUUGGGAUAAGCCUGGGAAACUGGGUCUAAUACUGGAUAGGACCAUGCUGUAGGUGGUGUGGUGGAAAGAUUAGUUUCGGUAAGGGAUGAGCUCGCGGCCUAUCAGCUUGUUGGUGGGGUAAUGGCCUACCAAGGCGUCGACGGGUAGCCGGCCUGAGAGGGUGGACGGCCGCAUUGGGACUGAGAUACGGCCCAGACUCCUACGGGAGGCAGCAGUGGGGAAUAUUGCACAAUGGGCGCAAGCCUGAUGCAGCGACGCCGCGUGGGGGAUGACGGCCUUCGGGUUGUAAACUCCUUUCAGCCAUGACGAAGCCCUUGUGGUGACGGUAGUGGUAGAAGAAGCACCGGCUAACUACGUG